CUGAGAGGCUUAUUUUCAUUAUUUGUGAUAACUUCAAAAUCUUGCUUCAUAGAUAUUCUUUUCCAAGUGAUUUGCUUCGUCUCUGUCUUUAGUUCUUGGAUCAUAUGAUUCAACUGGUUUGUGGGAUGUGUUUAUCUCUGAUUGAGGAUCUUGGUCUUUACUUGUUGUGGCGUUCAUACACAUUCUUGUGAGUUUAUGGUACAUUGUCUCGAAUAUUACUUAGAAGCUUGCAAGCUACAAUAUAUUCAAAUAACUAGACUUUGUUCUCACUGUUUCAUCUUUUUUGUUUCGGUGAAAGGAUAAGGCUAUGGAGAUUUUCUGUGGUUAGCUACACUGGUUUUAUUUUUAUAAUUUUUGAUUAUCAUUUCCUCCAAGCUCUGUGCCUUGGAAGAUGACAAUAAAGAAGAAAAACUUUGUAUCUUGUACCGCAACAAUCACUUCUCUACCAUCCUGAAGAGAUGAAAAAGCAUUGCAAAGAAGACAUCAAAGAAGGCUGCUCAAGCUGCAGCUGCGAGUUCUGGUACUAGAGGCAAAUGAGCUACUAAGAAGUGAUUAUGAUCAUUUGGUUUGGCUUUUGAGCCCAGAAGAUGCCAUCCAAGUUCGAAAUAUCAUGGAAAGGUAUAGAUUCAACCAGUUCGUAAGGCACUGAAUCAUAAUUGUGUAAAAUUUUCAGGGUACACAAGUAUUCUUGGUGAAUUUUAGACUACGAUCGUAUAUUAUAAUCUCUUACUUCUUGAAAGGUAAA